rnacentral:lncRNA from 1 species
CAGGACAUACUUUAUUCAGCUGGGUGCUGAAAAAGAAUCUUGGAAAUUAGGAAACUGAAUGAGGCCUCAUUUCACACUCAGAAUGUGGGUUGCAAUAGUCACUUCCUCUGCUGCUGGGAAAGAAAGAAUUAUACUACCUUUUGAAUUUUGGAUUAAGGAGAGAGGUGUUGGCUUGUCAAACUACCAUGUAUUCCUCAAGACAUAUUUUUGUGGCUUUAUAAAAUUCAAUAUAUAUUUCUAAAUUCAAAUAUAUUUUGUUGCAAUCUGGCCCUUGGACAAACUGAGGCCCUAGCAACUGAUGUGUAUGGCUUUCCAUAGAACCUUUCAGAUAAAAUUUACACAGCAUUUUACUGCAGCUAUUUCACACAAAGCAGAGGAUUUUGCCACAAAACUGAAAGAAAAAAGAAACUGCAUUCUUAAAUUUUUUAUAAAUCAAAAGGUAUAAAAAUAUCUACCUAAACGAUAAAGGAGAGGAGAAACCCCACCCGUGAUGGGAAGAAAGCCUAUUUCAGUUUUGCUUUUACUUCAAGUUCUUUUUUCCAUAUCUGGAAAGCAAUCGGAAUUUUAAUCUUGCCUUGGGUUCCUCCUGGAUUUGGGGAGAAGAUAAAACCUGAAAAUCUCUAAUCUGCAUGUGUUCAGCUGCGUAUCUUCCGGAUACGGAAGGAUCACACUGCACAGAGUGCUGGACUUGCAGGAGCCCCGCUUCUCAACCUCCAUCGCUUUAUGAAUGAAUUCACCAGAAAGAAAAGGAAGAAUCAACACUUUCAGAGAUGGAGCCUGUUGAGCCACAGUACCAACUAGUCGAUGCUGAAUCCGACUUCUCCCUUUCUACAUUGCCUGAGAGAAGUCACUGGGGAAUACUCUAGAGUCAAGGGAUUGGAUUGUGGAUUGCAUUGGUGGUUUUCCUCAGUUUCCUCAUCUUCUCCACAAGUUUCUACACAUCAAAUGCAGAGCAGCCCUUCUUCAAAGGACCUCCUACAGAAGCUGCUAAGGAACUCAGUCUGUAGCUCUGCGUGGAGCCAUGUGUAAACACUGAACCGAGGCCUGCCACCUCCUACUACCUAAGGGCCCAUUUUCAUCUGAUAUCAUCCCCCAGAAACAAACUCAUGCUGACUUCCAUGUUUUUUUUAGAUUAGAUACAUGGAGAAUUUUCCUUUCCCUUAGAAUUAAAAUCCUGCAUUCUAAUUUUCA